GUGAGCAAUUAACUAUUUUUCUUAGUUUCUGAUUGCACAUCACUAAACGGGAUAAUAACACAUUUCACAGGACUGCUUUGAGGAGGACUCACUAGUAUAGUGUGGCAUAAUAGAGAAGCAAUAAAUAAAGUACCUCAAGAGAAACGAUAUUAUUUUCUACAUCGCUCACCUAACAGUGCCUGAACGUGAUAAAUAUCCCCACAGUAAAUAUGUAUUAUCUUUAUUAUAACUGGGUCCUCCUAAAAUAUUGUAUGCCUUCAUUAUCUUACUGGUUUGCUUCUUUUUUU